AGCUUUGUCCAGUGGGAGUAUCAUAAACAGUGAGGUUGAUCCAAAGCAUGAUUAUUGCUAAUAGAUAGAGCACUAGGCAAUUAUCAAGACAUCCAUACAUUUGGGAAUGAUUAUAAUAUC
rnacentral:snRNA from 1 species